AAAGAUAUAGCUCAGUGGUAGAGUAUGUGCUUAGCAUGCACAAGGUCCUGGGUUCAAUCCUGUGGGUUCA
rnacentral:tRNA from 1 species